rnacentral:rRNA from 1 species
GACGCAGGGGGCUAGCGUUGUUCGGAAUUACUGGGCGUAAAGCGAGUGUAGGUGGUUGUCCAAGUUGGAUGUGAAAGCCUUGAGCUCAACUCAAGAAAUGCAUUCAGGACUGGGUGACUAGAGGACCGGAGAGGAUAGUGGAAUUCCCAGUGUAGUGGUGAAAUACGUAGAGAUUGGGAAGAACACCAGUGGCGAAGGCGGCUAUCUGGACGGUUUCUGACACUAAGACUCGAAAGCGUGGGGAGCAAACAGG